rnacentral:lncRNA from 7 species
AACUCUCUAAUACUGCACCACAAACAGGACUGACCUAAAUCUACAUAAUUGACUACCUUUACCUGCUUUUAAUGUUUGUGGUUUAGAAAAAAAAAAAAAAAAAAAAAAAAAACAACAGCAGAAGACAGAACCAGAAUGUAUUUAUCAUUUUUCUUUUAAAAAGUAGAUUUCAUGGGAGACUUCAUCUGGAUCAGAUGAAUUCUUAUGGAUGAGAGUUUUGCCAGAACCAGUGAAUUCCUACAGGAAGACUUCAGAAGAACAGGCUCCAGUGGUUCUUGGGCCUCCUGUUGUCUUCUGCCUUUGAACCUGCUUAAAGAAUGAGUUCUUUCACUGAAAGCCAGGAGUUCAGUGUGCUCUGGGCCUUCAGUCAGAGAAAAGCUCUCUGUGUUUCUUGCUGCUGAGUGACACCAACCUUCAUCUGACCCACCACAGUCUAGUGGAAGACAAACUCUAUAUGCUGGUCUAUUUUUUUUUUUCUCUUUCCUCCUUACAGUAAAAUGACAGCCUACUAAGAAGUGUGGAUUUGCAUACACAGAAGACUGUAAUUCUUUAGCUGCCAUGUUGCUGAUUUCAAAAUGCUAAGGAAGCCUGUGGGAGACAUUGGAAUAGCAUGCUCUUAAUGAGAGAGUCUCAUUUAGAAACGGAGGUAGCUAGCUGUAAAAAGUCUCUCUGAGAUUCAUACCUACUUUUUAGGGGCCUCUACCUCCCUUAAUAUUCCCUACAAGAAAGUAUUAAGCAGUAAUAUGGAACAACAUUUUAGAGUCAUGUAAGAAAGGCAGAGAAAUCAGCAGCUUUCUGUAAACAGUAGGUACAGCAGGGGGCAUAACCUCAUAUGCCUUCUUCUCACUUUUUCCUGGGAUCCUCAUCAUCAUCCUGUUCACGAUUACUGUGAAUUUUCUCAAUCUCACUCAAGCUGUACUGGAGAUAUUUGGGUUUGAAUAGCCAAUGUAGGCAACACAUCCAUGCUUUUAUGGUAUUCUAACUUCUUGAUUGAAACCUUACUGGUUCGUGAUCGCCUUGAAUCUGGAGUAACAAAACCACAUCCACAUAUCAGUAGCUAAAACCUACAGCUGGAGUCUGCGUCCAGCCUUACAGAUGGAGCUGAGCAGGUCAAGAGCAAGUGAUUCCAGCUAUAGUUGGUGAAUUCACAUAACACAUUAGAGUAUGUAAAACUUCGGGAAAGAAUCAAAUGCUAAUUUCAGGGUUUUUUUUUUUUUUCCCCUUAUGAUUUGCUCUCACUUUUCUCUCUUAUGCAUAAAGAAUAAUGUUCAUAGCACCGACUUUCUGUUGAAGUAAAUUAUUAUUGAUUUUAUCAAAUCACUCAGAUGAGUUUCAGUUUUUAAAAAAAGUAUGGUCAUUUAUUGCAUCCUAUAGUGUAUUCACCAUUGAUGCAAACUGUGUGCUAACAAUGGCGCCUCUGACAUUGUGGAAGGAAAUGGCUCUGCACAGCAUGAAAAUGCAGUCAGUGGCUAAUUGAAUGAAAAGUUUUCUUCAGUGGCAAUUAGCUUAUUCCUUUCCAAACACUCCAAUAUCAAAAUUUACUGAAAGGAUCUUUGAACAAGAAGGAAAAAAUAAUCCUGAAAGUAAUAGGCAUGCUCCUACUGUAAGAAAGAAAAUUAUUCCCUUAGAAUGGUGUAAAAUAAUCUAUACAUGAAGUUCAUACAUUUCACUGUAAUACAUGUUUCUAAACUGUCAAUCUAUGCUACCUCCUAGUUUAAAGUCUCAUCU